CAAGAAAAUAGUGAUUUUAUAGUGAUUAUUCCAUUAAUUUAGGGAGUAUUAUGAAGUUUUACAAAAUUAAAUGAUAAAAAAUUAUAACGAUUCCCAUAUACCAUAAAAAAGAGCUUAAAGUACAUUAAUACAAAUGUAGAAUGUGGUUAGAAAUUUUAAAACAACACUAAAGAUUAUAGGCUUCAGUACAUAAAACAUUUACCAAAACUUCAAUAUUCUCGUAGGGGUUAACACAUAGAUUUUGAAAAAAUUU